rnacentral:rRNA from 1 species
AUUGAACGCUGGCGGCAUGCUUUACACAUGCAAGUCGAACGGCAGCGCGGGCUUCGGCCUGGCGGCGAGUGGCGAACGGGUGAGUAAUACAUCGGAACGUGCCCAGUAGUGGGGGAUAGCUCGGCGAAAGCCGGAUUAAUACCGCAUACGACCUGAGGGUGAAAGCGGGGGAUCUUCGGACCUCGCGCUAUUGGAGCGGCCGAUGGCAGAUUAGCUAGUUGGUGGGGUAAAGGCCUACCAAGGCGACGAUCUGUAGCUGGUCUGAGAGGACGACCAGCCACACGGGGACUGAGACACGGCCCAGACUCCUACGGGAGGCAGCAGUGGGGAACUUUGGACAAUGGGCGAAAGCCUGAUCCAGCGAUGCCGCGUGUGUGAUGAAGGCCUUCGGGUUGUAAAGCACUUUUGGCGGGAACGAAAAGGACUGUGCCAAUACCACGGUUCGAUGACGGUACCCGCAGAAUAAGCACCGGCUAACUACGUG